rnacentral:rRNA from 1 species
UGACGCUGAGGCUCGAAAGCGUGGGGAGCAAACAGGAUUAGAUACCCUGGUAGUCCACGCUGUAAACGAUGAUUACUAGGUGUGGGGGGAUUGACCCCUUCCGUGCCGCAGUUAACACAAUAAGUAAUCCACCUGGGGAGUACGACCGCAAGGUUGAAACUCAAAGGAAUUGACGGGGGCCCGCACAAGCAGUGGAGUAUGUGGAUUAAUUCGAAGCAACGCGAAGAACCUUACCGGGUCUUGACAUCGAGUGACCGCUCUAGAGAUAGAGCUUUCUCUUCGGAGACACGAAGACAGGUGGUGCAUGGUUGUCGUCAGCUCGUGUCGUGAGAUGUUGGGUUAAGUCCCGCAACGAGCGCAACCCUUAUGAUUAGUUGCUACGCAAGAGCACUCUAAUCAGACUGCCGUUGACAAAACGGAGGAAGGUGGGGAUGACGUCAAAUCAUCAUGCCCUUUAUGACCCGGGCCUCACACGUACUACAAUGGCGUUUAACAAAGAGAAGCAAAGCCGCGAGGCGGAGCAAAUCUCGAAAAAACGUCUCAGUUCAGAUUGCAGGCUGCAACUCGCCUGCAUGAAGUCGGAAUGCUAGUAAUCGCGGAU